UACGUAGGGUGCAAGCGUUAAUCGGAAUUACUGGGCGUAAAGCGUGCGUAGGUGGUUCGUUAAGUCCGUUGUGAAAGCCCCGAGCUCAACUUGGGAAUUGCAAUGGAUACUGGCAGGCUGGAGUAUGGUAGAGGAAGGUGGAAUUCCCGGUGUAGCAGUGAAAUGCGUAGAGAUCGGGAGGAACACCAGUGGCGAAGGCGGCCUUCUGGACCAAUACUGACGCUCAUGCACGAAAGCGUGGGGAGCAAACAGG
rnacentral:rRNA from 1 species